UACGUAGGGUCCGAGCGUUGUCCGGAAUUACUGGGCGUAAAGAGCUCGUAGGUGGUUUGUCGCGUGGUCGGUGAAAACUCACAGCUCAACUGUGGGCGUGCGGGCGAUACGGGCAGACUGGAGUACUGCAGGGGAGACUGGAAUUCCUGGUGUAGCGGUGGAAUGCGCAGAUAUCAGGAGGAACACCGGUGGCGAAGGCGGGUCUCUGGGCAGUAACUGACGCUGAGGAGCGAAAGCGUGGGGAGCGAACAGG
rnacentral:rRNA from 1 species